rnacentral:rRNA from 1 species
GACGAACGCUGGCGGCGUGCUUAACACAUGCAAGUCGAGCGGUAAGGCCCUUUCGGGGGUACACGAGCGGCGAACGGGUGAGUAACACGUGGGUGACCUGCCCUCAGCUCUGGGAUAAGCCUGGGGAAACCGGGUCUAAUACUGGAUAUGACUCCAUGACGCAUUGUUGGUGGGGUGGAAAGCCUUGUGCGGCUGAGGAGUGGGCCCGCGGCCUAUCAGCUUGUUGGGUGGGGUGANGG